rnacentral:lncRNA from 1 species
UGCACAGAUUUUAUUUAUUGCACUCAACAACAUACAAAAGUUCUCAAUGAUCAGAGAUCAUGUCUAAAGUAACGAAUCUCAGUGCUGGAAUAUCUGGCGGCUCCAACCUAACAGAAUAAAACACUGAGGAACAACACACUACAAACACAGAUCUUCCAUGUGAGAACUAAAUCAGGGUUUUAUUUGGUGCUCUGACCUGAACUGCUAACAGAGGCAGGAUUUAUGACUGGUUGGUUGGUAGUGGGGACUCCUUGGUGGUCUUCCUAUCUCAGUAGGUACUUAAUAAAGGACUACACUAGACAUACGACAGGUGACUAAACCUGGGAUACUUAGCAGCACCAGCAACCAGCCUGUACAACUCAACAGUCUCUACUCCUCUACUCCUUAAUUUGAAAUGUAAAAAAUGUUGAGUGGCUGAAAUCAAAGAGCAGAACUAUACCGAACAAAAAUAUAAACGCAACAUGUUAAGUGUUGGUCUCAUGUUUCAUGAGCUAAAAUAAAAGAUCUCAGAAAUGUUCCAUACACACAAAAAGCGUAUUUCUCUCAAAUUUUGUAAACAAAUUUGAUGACAUCCCUAUUAGUGAGCAUUUCUGCUUUGCGAAGAUAAUCCAUCCACCUAACAGGUGUGGCAUAUCAAGAAGCUGAUUAAACAGCACGAUCAUUAGACAUGUGCACCUUGUGCUGGCGACAAUAAAAGGCCACUGUAAAAUGUGCAGUUUUGUCACACAACACAAUGCCACAGAUGUCUCAAGUUUUGAGGGAGCGUGCAAUUGGCAUGCUGACUGCAGGAAUGUCCACCAGAGCUGUUGCCAGAGAAUUGAAUGUUAAUUUCUCUACCAUAAGCCACCUCUAUCGUCCCUUUAGAGAAUUUGGCAGUACAUCCAACCGGCCUCACAACCGCAGAGCACGUGUAACCCCGCCAGCCCAGGAUCUCCACAUCCGGCUUCUUCACCUGUAGGAUCGUCUGAGACCAGCCACCCAGACAACUGAUGAAACUGAGGAGUACUCCUGUCUGUAAUAAAUCCCUUUUGUGGGGAAAAGCAUAUACUGAUUGGCUGGGCCUGGCUGCCCAGUCGGUGGGCCAGACUGCCAAGUGGUUGGGCCUAUGCCCCCCAGGCCCACACAUGGCUGUGCCCCUGCCCAGUCAUGUGAAAUCCAUUGAUUAGGGCCUAAUGAAUUUAUUUCCAUUUCCUUAUAUAAACUGUAACUCAGUACAUUCUUUGAAAUUGUUGCAUGUUGCAUUUAUGUUUUCGUUCAGUGCAAUAGUUCGAUCACAUAAAGAAUGUAUUCUGCAGUCCUUUCAUUUGGCAAAAAGUUUGAGUCAUUUGAUCUGAUCUGAAAUCUAAAUGAUUUCAGGAAAUCAUAUCCACCCUGUAAAUAAAUACCUAUACGUUUUUGAGAAUAUACUAUUUUGCAGAGCAAACCAUUAAGUAUUGUAAUCACAAGCACUUGACAAAAGAAAUAUAUAAAAUCUGUUGGAAAUAAUAAAUAAAGAUUCUAAAUCAAGGCGGUUCAGUGCUAAAAAGGAUCUUAGCUGGCUUAAAUAGAAUAGUGGCUUAGAAAGUGAUACAAUUCAAUAUAACCUUAUUCUCCUUUCAUCAGAUAUAGGUGGACUGUGCUGAUCUGAAGUGUCAGUCUUAUUUAGUAUCACUUUCCAAAGUGACAAAAAUAUACUUCAUUUUUCAGUUACAGUAUAUGAUAUUCUCACAAAUAUCAUGGGAAGAAUAUGUUAUUUAGUGCUUAUAUCAAAAACACCACAAAUCUAGUCUGUCUGACAUAAAUGUUUUGUAAAACUAUGUAAAAUAUUUAGUAAACAUUUAGAAACAGUAAAAAGUAUGGUCUUGUAGACCUAAUAAUCAUUGUACAGUAAUACAAACAAUGAUCGUCCCUAAACGUAGUGAACUAUUACCACAGACCCGUACGCAUGAUAUCAAAGGUUGUGACACUCAUAGAAACAUGUCGUCAAUAGUAAUAACACUUCUAAAAAUGCUAAAAUCGUAGAUUUCACGUUAGCCUAUUAUUUACUUAGUUUGUAACAGUACAUGUUCAAAAGCAGUGAGGCAAAAAAUUAUUAAUGAAUCCUCUUUGGAGGAACUCGGUCAGUCACUUUACAAAUUCUAGUCACAUAAUCUGCAUCUCUUACGAAUACUUCUUCUAUUAUAAGUCUAUGACACGUUAACAGCGUUCAUUUUUCUUAUUGCUUCGUUCAUAGUACCUUACUGACAGUUCUAUGCUCCACUGUACCCCAGCACUGCUACACAUUUGCACAAAUGUACACACUGUAUCACCACACAACAAGGUAAUGUCAGCUAGGGCAUACAUUGAAAACAAACACUGGGCGUUCCAAACGUAAGGUCAAGAAACGAGGAUUAGUCUACUGUAUUAUUUUUCCAUUGGUCACUGCUGAACAUUAGGUGUUGCUAAGUAUGAAAACAACAAACUUCGGAAGAAAAAGGUUUGUGCUAUAGAAAAGACUGCUGUGUGUGUGUGUGUGUGCGUGUGUGUGCGCGUGUGUGUGUAUGUGAGUAGGUUCUUCUAUCCUUGAGGGGACCUUAAAAUCCCCAAGAGUCACCACAAGUGAAACAAGGAAAGUUGUCCCUCGUGGGGACAUUUCCCACGUCCCCACGAGGACAAAGGUUAUUUUAAGUUUAGGAUUUAGGUUUAGGGUUACCAUUAAGGUUAGAAUUAGGGUAAGGGGUUAGUGGUUUAUGGUUAGGAGUUAGGGAAAAUAGUGUUUUGAAUGGAAAUGCAUUUUAGGUCCCCACAAGGAUAGUAAAACGUGUAUUUGUGUACAAUGUCACCCAAGGAUAUCCUGUUUGUGGUACAUCACAUGUUAACUGUAGCACGAUGUAGCUGAGGCUGUUUUUUUUGGCUUUAGGACAGAGUAUCUCAGGGAGACAGAGGACUUCAAGACGUGGCAGCUGACAGGAAGGCAAAUCAGGGUUGACCUUCGACCCCAGCGUCAGCCUCACAUCUGCCCAAAGAAGAUGGAGCAGAGCAGGAAGACGGCAUAGAGUAAUAUCAGCCCCAGGC